rnacentral:rRNA from 1 species
GACGAACGCUGGCGGCGUGCUUAACACAUGCAAGUCGAACGGUGAAAGCGGAGCUUGCUCCGCUGGAUCGGUGGCGAACGGGUGAGUAACACGUGGGCAACCUGCCCCUCACUUCGGGAUAACUCCGGGAAACCGGGGCUAAUACCGGAUAUGACCUCCUUGGGCAUCCUGGGAGGUGGAAAGUUUUUCGGUGAGGGAUGGGCCCGCGGCCUAUCAGCUUGUUGGUGAGGUAGUGGCUCACCAAGGCGACGACGGGUAGCCGGCCUGAGAGGGCGACCGGCCACACUGGGACUGAGACACGGCCCAGACUCCUACGGGAGGCAGCAGUGGGGAAUAUUGCACAAUGGGCGCAAGCCCGAUGCAGCAACGCCGCGUGAGGGAUGACGGCCUUCGGGUUGUAAACCUCUUUUAGCAGGGAAGAAGCGAAAGUGACGGUACCUGCAGAAAAAGCACCGGCUAACUACGUGCCAGCCGCCGCUGUAA